AAUCAACGCCGGCGGCGUGCCUCAGACAUGCAAGUCGAACGAUUAAGACUUCCUUCGGGAAGUGCAUAAAGUGGCGCACGGGUGAGUAACACGUAAGUAAUCUACCCUCGAGUGGGGAAUAACAGUCGGAAACGACUGCUAAUACCGCAUAAUGCAGCGGCACCGCAAGGUGACAGUUGUUAAAGGAGCAAUCCGCUUGAGGAGGAGCUUGCGGCAGAUUAGCUAGUUGGUAAGGUAACGGCUUACCAAGGCUACGAUCUGUAUCCGGUCUAAGAGGACGGUCGGACACACUGACACUGAAUAACGGGUCAGACUCCUACGGGAGGCAGCAGUCGGGAAUUUUGGGCAAUGGGCGAAAGCCUGACCCAGCAACGCCGCGUGAAGGAUGAAGUAUUUCGGUAUGUAAACUUCGAAAGAAUAGGAAGAAUAAAUGACGGUACUAUUUAUAAGCUCCGGCUAACUCCGUGCCAGCCGCCGCUGUAAUAC
rnacentral:rRNA from 1 species